rnacentral:rRNA from 1 species
AGAGUUUGAUCCUGGCUCAGGAUGAAUGCUGGCGGCGUGCCUAACACAUGCAAGUCGAACGAUACAGUGGCAAACGGGUGCAUAACACGUAGGAAUUUACCCUUGUCUUGGGGAUAGCUCACCGAAAGGGGAGGUAAUACCCAAUAGUAUGCAGUUAAAUUUAUUUAUCUGUAUUAAAGAUUUUUCGGACAAGGAGAAGCCUGCGGCCUAUCAGCUAGUUGGUGGGGUAAAAGCCUACCAAGGCAGCGACGGGUAGCUGAUCCGAGAGGAUGAUCAGCCACAGGGGAACUGAGACACGGUCCCCACUCCUACGGGAGGCAGCAGUUGGGAAUAUUGCACAAUGGGCGAAAGCCUGAUGCAGCGACGCCGCGUGAAGGAAGAAGCCUUUCGGGGUGUAAACUUCUUUUGUCUGGGAGGAUUAUGACAGUACCAGACGAAUAAGUACCGGCUAACUACGUGCCAGAAGCCUCGGUGAUACGUAGGGUACAAGCAUUAUCCGGAAUUAUUGGGCGUAAAGCGUGUCUAGGUGGUUGUAAAAGUUUCUUGUUAAAUCUUCGGGCUCAACCCGGAAAUCGCAGGAAAUACUAUAUGACUAGAGACCAAUAGAGGUGUAUGGAACUCUCGGUGUAGGAGUGAAAUCCGUUGAUAUCGAGAGGAACACCAAAGGCGAAGGCAAUACACUAGAUUGGUUCUGACACUCAAGCACGAAAGCGUGGGGAGCGAACAGGAUUAGAUACCCUGGUAGUCCACGCCGUAAACGAUGCAGACUAAUUGUUAGGAGUAUCGACCCUCCUAGCAGUGAAGCUAACGCGUUAAGUCUGCCGCCUGGGAAGUACGGUCGCAAGACUAAAACUCAAAGGAAUUGACGGGGGCUUGCACAAGCGGUGGAGCAUGUGGUUUAAUUCGACGAUAAGCGAAGAACCUUACCAGGACUUGACAUCCCAAUCGUAUCCUAUAGAAAUAUAGGAGUCAGUUCGGCUGGAUUGGUGACAGGUGCUGCACGGUUGUCGUCAGCUCGUGUCGUGAGAUGUUCCGUUAAGUCGGCUAACGAGCGAAACCCCUAUUGCCAGUUGUAUUUUUCUGGCGAGACUGCCUCGGUUAACGGGGAGGAAGGCGGGGAUGACGUCAAAUCAGCGUGGCUCUUACGUCCUGGGCUACACACGUGCUACAAUGGCAUUUACAAAGGGUCGCAAUAGCGCAAGCUGGAGCUAAUCCCUAAAAAUUGCCACAGUUCGGAUUGAGGGCUGCAACUCGCCCUCAUGAAGCUGGAAUC